rnacentral:rRNA from 1 species
CAGUAGCCGCGGGAAUACGUAGGUGGCAAGCGUUGUCCGGAAUUAUUGGGCGUAAAGGGCUCGCAGGCGGUUUCUUAAGUCUGAUGUGAAAGCCCCCGGCUCAACCGGGGAGGGUCAUUGGAAACUGGGAAACUUGAGUGCAGAAGAGGAGAGUGGAAUUCCACGUGUAGCGGUGAAAUGCGUAGAGAUGUGGAGGAGCACCAGUGGCGAAGGCGACUCUCUGGUCUGUAACUGACGCUGAGGAGCGAAAGCGUGGGGAGCGAACAGGAUUAGAUACCCGAGUAGUCCCUGUCUCUUAUAC